AGAGUUUGAUCAUGGCUCAGGAUGAACGCUAGCGGGAGGCUUAACACAUGCAAGUCGAGGGGCAGCAUAGGGUAGCAAUACUCUGAUGGCGACCGGCGCACGGGUGAGUAACGCGUAUGCAACCUACCCUGUACUGGGGGAUAACCCGGAGAAAUUCGGACUAAUACCCCAUAAUGAUAUCGGGAGGCAUCUUCUGAUAUUUAAAGUUCCGACGGUACGGGAUGGGCAUGCGUAACAUUAGCUAGUUGGCAGGGUAACGGCCUACCAAGGCUGCGAUGUUUAGGGGUCCUGAGAGGGUGAUCCCCCACACUGGUACUGAGACACGGACCAGACUCCUACGGGAGGCAGCAGUGAGGAAUAUUGGUCAAUGGGCGCAAGCCUGAACCAGCCAUCCCGCGUGAAGGAAGAAGGCGCUAUGCGUUGUAAACUUCUUUUCCAGGGGAAUAAAAUUCUGUACGUGUACGGAAUUGAAGGUACCCUGGGAAUAAGCAUCGGCUAACUCCGUGCCAGCAGCCGCGGUAAUACGGAGGAUGCAAGCGUUAUCCGGAUUUAUUGGGUUUAAAGGGUGCGCAGGCGGAGUAGUAAGUCAGUGGUGAAAACCUGCAGCUUAACUGUAGAAUUGCCGUUGAUACUGCUGCUCUUGAGUAUGGUCAAGGUAGGCGGAAUGUGUAAUGUAGCGGUGAAAUGCUUAGAUAUUACACAGAACACCGAUUGCGAAGGCAGCUUGCUGGGCCAUUACUGACGCUCAUGCACGAAAGCGUGGGGAUCGAACAGGAUUAGAUACCCUGGUAGUCCACGCCGUAAACGAUGAUCACUCGCUGUUGGCGAUACACUGUCAGCGGCUAAGCAAAAGCAUUAAGUGAUCCACCUGGGGAGUACGACCGCAAGGUU
rnacentral:rRNA from 1 species